GUGGACUAGGGAACGGUUUGGUAAGUAUGGAAUGAAAUAUGGAUUGUUUGGUAAUAUUCGAUAAGCCUUGAAUCGGAAGCUUCCUUUUACUUUUUAUUCAAACACGUUUACAUUGCUUUGCAACAGUUUCAUUUCAGUUCGUUGGACUAAAGCUGUCUGCAAGCUAGCGUCAUUUUUAUCAUACAUGAAUCAUGCAUAGGAAAAACAAACAAACCUGCCUAAGUUAUCUUGUUGUCCUAGAGGUUUGUCAAUAGGAUGAAAUGGUCUCCCCUUCCUUCAUUCGCUCUCUCGUUCAUUGUCAAAGCUUUUGAAGCUCCAAAUUGUACGUAAUGAGCAACACAGCUCCGACAGCAAACACCAUCAUUAUCAUUUGUAGAAGAACAAUGGCUAAAACAACAACAUAAGCCUCACAACAACAACAGAUUGCAUCAUUUACUCGUCUCUCGUCGCCAGUCCCCACAGACUGGUUGAACGGUUUGGUUUGGAGGAUAUUUUAUCUCGCUUCCAUGCAUUCCCGAGAGUUCGGCGGUCAAUACGAGGUGGCUUACAAGUGUUUCGUACUGCAUGCUUUAACUUUAGUGACCACGGCCAAUGAAAUAUGGUUGAUCAAUAGCCAAACUUUCCAUUAUGCAUUUUGUUCGCUGUAUCGUAUCGUUUGGUCGAUACAUGGAUUUUUAAUGUAAGAUAGUCGAGUUUAGACGUUUUGUUACCACAAACACGGACAUUUUACAUAAUGUCGAUAAUAUGCUUUACUUAGCUGAUGCUAUUUUUACACCUUGCCAAAAGCCGAUUCCUUAAUAAAUUCGCUCAAAAAUUAAUCAUAUCUUCAAGCGCAGUGUUUUGAAAUAAAAAAAACUAUUAUCAAGGUUAUUAGUAACAGCAGAUUGAGUGCUUUGAAUUCUGGAGUUGCUAUAGCUAGCACCGGUUUGGCCCGACGACAGAUUUGAUAACAUGGCAGACAAACGGGUUAACUGUGUGGCAUGUUUUAACCCACUGAGCCACAUUUUGACGUCAUUCCCGCACAAAGCAGGCGCAGCAGUCGAGCAGUCUCUACUACUCCACCAUCGAUGCACACUACAGCCACAUCGCUAACUGAUUACGUCGAUACGACGCGUUAAGUAUCAGUUUGCGCUAAACAUUUGCACAGAUGAAAUCAAAAUACCUUCAACCGUGCACCGCCAUCGAAAACAAAGCAAAAAGAAAUCGAACCGCUCAACCAACGGGCCGAAGAAUGAUGAACAAAAAGACUUAUGCACGGGUCGCACAGGAACAUAAGCAAAGCAUUUCUCUUGGGCAAGCUUUAAAAGCCAAGGAAAACUAAGCAUAACAUUUGCGAUUACGGCACCAACUAGACGAACAGUACGGUAGAGUAGGAAGGGAGCACAGCACAGCACACUGAUGUUGGAAACCAUGGUAGCGAUUGUGUCGCUUCAUUUCCACGAUCUGUCAUGGUAAGUAAAAGCGAGAAGUUACAACAAAAGCCGCUUAAUUGCACAACUUGCAUGGGGUACGGUGAAGCUUAGCUUAUAAUUUUUUCCUCAAUAUAUCAGGGUGUACAAAAAGUUCUUAAAAUAUUUGCACUAAUAACGGGUUGUCCGUCCAUCCGGUUUUCAGUUACCAGCUACGAACGAUUCUCCGCACCCAGAUCAUAGGCAAUCAAUUUCAGGAAUAAAUGUGGACGACCGAUUUACAUCUCAACUCAGCGUGCUUCUGAUAACAAAGUAGCAUAGGCACGAAUGGUGUAUUUUUGUUACAAGCCCAUCAUGGUUUUGCUUUGCAUAGCACUGUCGAGUGCCCUUGACCGAUUCUAUUUUCCGGGGGCUUCUUUUUCCGCUUCCUCCUCGCUUACCAUAAAGAUUGCAACAACUCGAAAAAAUCCAGCCAGAUGCUAAUCGAAAUGGAUGCGGGACGCGCUUCAUGCUGGCCGGCAUAUAGUUCAUCAUGCUCUAACAAUGCGAUGCAUAUCGAUAGGGUAUAAACUGCACAGUGCAUGCGUACAGUUGUUUACGAUUGUUCGCGACUGGCCAGAUAGUUGAAGGUCGAUCAAGGCAGCGGAUGAGAAGGCUUUGACUCACUUCAAUGAAAGCGAUGACGAGGCAACCCCUUUGCUCUUACUACUACACUUCACUGGCGUAUGAAUAUACCUCAGAGGUAGAGCUUUGGUGGUUUCUUUUUUCGUUUCUGGCAUUCAUUCAUAUACCAUUACCGCGGAGUACGAGCGAUGACAUACGGGGUCAUCUUUGAGCACUGUUCACAAAAUUUUACAUUUUUAAUCGUUUUUUAUUAUCGUUACGUUACUAUUCGAUAAGGGAUGGAUAAUAUUUUUAGUGGCUAAAAAAUAUUCACUGUUGUAUAACAGAAAUACCGCUCCAAAAUUAAAUUUAAACGUCGUUUAUCGCGUCUGACGUACGAGCAGGUGUAACAAAUCUGCAAUGUUAGAAAACUGUAGAAAUUUUUACAUUUUCAGAUAGUAUUUUCUUAUCAAAACAAGAAAUGAACUUAGACCGAUUAGCUAAUAGUAGCCUCUAAAUGUCGUUUUUGCGUAAAAUGUGGCCUUCAAUUGGAAUGUUUAGAUACUGCUUCAAAUGUAUUAACCACACAAACUAUCGAAAGUAUCAGUAUCUAAAGUAUUCUAAUAAAAUUAUAUGUAUUGUAACUGUACCAGUAUUGGGCAGGUAAGUGAAUCAGUUUCACAAAAACUGCUCCUACACGUACAAAUUUUAUUAUUUUUCACGAAAAAGACGUUAUUUUGGACAAUAAACUAUCGGAUUAUCUUGUGCUAUUUUUUAUGUACCGAUUUAAAUGUAUUUUUUAGAUAUAUUUGUGAACAUGCAAACACUGUUUUUGGUCCUAUUUUCGGCAGGCUGUGCACCAAAUACGGGUCGGUGUUUUAAUGUGUUAAUAAAUGAAAACAGGUAGAAAAAAACGCAAUUUUACACUCUUACUUUCCUAAGAUUGGUGUUGAAAAGCACUAAAAUUAUUAAUUUCAUGUUGUACAUUCUGGUCAUUUUGCAGGCAGUUUUUACAGUCUGUUAGAUGUGCGUUACAAUCAAAGUAGGCAUUGAAGAAAAGAGAGUAUGAUGGAUCCAGAGUUCGGCUCCGAUUGGUUCACAAACCGGCUUUUCUCUCAAGUUUUUGGAUUAUGUUUAGUGAAAUUGGUGAUAUUUAAUACAAGAAAUGUCGUUUUAUGUGUCGACAUACGCAUUUUAGUGUUCUGAUCAAGUUUUAAAUGAAUAUUCAGCAAAAUCAAAAGUGUUAUUGCUUCAAGUUUCGGCAGGAGCCCACAGCAUUGAUCUGCCAAAAAUCAACAUUUACCGUGUACAAUCUGUUCCCGAGUUACGCGAUUUGUGCGUUCCCGAGGAAUCCGCGUAACUCCAAUAUCUGCAGUCCAAGAGCAAAUGUUGUCACAGAAUCCUCACCGAAGGUCGUACGUUUCCGCAGCCCGUGGAACCAUGAGCUAGAUCGCGUAAAUUUGUCGUCAGCAUGUCGCAUUGGACAAAAGAUACGAGGAGCAGUACGCGUGCCGCCGUUCGAUACGAACAGACGCAAAGCAGCUACAAGAGCAAAUAGAAGCCAAAAACGGACAAUUUGCCUUAUUGGAAAUAUCUGUGCCAAGUGAAACAAUUUAAACUUCCUUGUCACGCUCAGUUCGCUCUCGUCGUGAAUGCUGGACCGCUCUAGAAAACAAGCCAACUUCAAGAUGUGUCGGUCUACGUAGCUGGCUGGUUCUUAGAACGGCUUUGCAUGUGUGAGAGGGCGAAUGAGUUUCAACGUGAAUGUAAAAGUAAACAUGUAGAGUGGUGUCACGCAAUUAGCUGGCUGCCUCGCCCGUUCGUUCCAACCGGUCGAGCUAAAACGGCCCCAUCCACACAGGAACGGUUUCGAACGGUUCAACCUUGCGCGACUUUGACGUUGGUGGCCCGGCGGCUACAAACAGCAAUGAAUAUGCAAUCACGCACAUUUAAGCACGGCAGACCGGGGACUCACUUUCCAGGAUGGCAAGAGUGCACACCAUAGCCGCGCGACCAGCGUCUUGUCGUAGCGAAUUGUCCUAUAAAUUAAUUAUUACAAAUGAACAGAACCAGGGGAACGUGCAAACACGAUCAACGCAAAGAAGACACACUGUUCUCGGCAAAAUGCUUCAAGAGUACGGGGAGAGCCUGGUAGCAUCUCUCCAGCGGUCGAUGACGAAACGAACGUUUAGCUGCAUCCGUUGCAAAGCUUGUCUUAGCUUUAUGUGCGGCUCGUGCCGAAUGCAAUCAAUGUGGAAUUCCAUCUGAGAUGAUAACAUUUGCACUUCAAACAUCUUAA